CAUAGGUUAAUGAGGCGAACCGGGGGAACUGAAACAUCUAAGUACCCCGAGGAAAAGAAAUCAACCGAGAUUCCCCCAGUAGCGGCGAGCGAACGGGGAGGAGCCCAGAGCCUGAAUCAGUGUGUGUGUUAGUGGAAGCGUCUGGAAAGGCGCGCGAUACAGGGUGACAGCCCCGUACACAAAAAUGCACAUGCUGUGAGCUCGAUGAGUAGGGCGGGACACGUGGUAUCCUGUCUGAAUAUGGGGGGACCAUCCUCCAAGGCUAAAUACUCCUGACUGACCGAUAGUGAACCAGUACCGUGAGGGAAAGGCGAAAAGAACCCCGGCGAGGGGAGUGAAAAAGAACCUGAAACCGUGUACGUACAAGCAGUGGGAGCCUCUUAAUGGGGUGACUGCGUACCUUUUGUAUAAUGGGUCAGCGACUUAUAUUCUGUAGCAAGGUUAACCGAAUAGGGGAGCCGAAGGGAAACCGAGUCUUAACUGGGCGUUAAGUUGCAGGGUAUAGACCCGAAACCCGGUGAUCUAGCCAUGGGCAGGUUGAAGGUUGGGUAACACUAACUGGAGGACCGAACCGACUAAUGUUGAAAAAUUAGCGGAUGACUUGUGGCUGGGGGUGAAAGGCCAAUCAAACCGGGAGAUAGCUGGUUCUCCCCGAAAGCUAUUUAGGUAGCGCCUCGUGAAUUCAUCUCCGGGGGUAGAGCACUGUUUCGGCAAGGGGGUCAUCCCGACUUACCAACCCGAUGCAAACUGCGAAUACCGGAGAAUGUUAUCACGGGAGACACACGGCGGGUGCUAACGUCCGUCGUGAAGAGGGAAACAACCCAGACCGCCAGCUAAGGUCCCAAAGUCAUGGUUAAGUGGGAAACGAUGUGGGAAGGCCCAGACAGCCAGGAUGUUGGCUUAGAAGCAGCCAUCAUUUAAAGAAAGCGUAAUAGCUCACUGGUCGAGUCGGCCUGCGCGGAAGAUGUAACGGGGCUAAACCAUGCACCGAAGCUGCGGCAGCGACACUAUGUGUUGUUGGGUAGGGGAGCGUUCUGUAAGCCUGUGAAGGUGGCCUGUGAGGG
rnacentral:rRNA from 1 species